GGUCUAGUGGUGUACUGGUAACACAUCCUCUCCUUGUCCACCUGAAAGAUGAAUAUCUGAGGAAGUGCCCUGUUCAAUUCAGGGCUGGGCCA